CUUGUUUACAAUGUACCGUAGCAGACGUAAAGAAAUUGACUGUGACUAGUGACUGUAGUGUCAAACUGUUUUCGUUUUUUAUGUCAAGUAUUAGUAGCAAUAAAACCAUAAUUGCUGGCCAUUGCCAGUGUACAGCUGGGCUUGGUAUUGUUUGCUGUCAUGUUUGUGCAGUUCUUUACAGUGUAAUUAGUGCUACAUCACUACCUUGCACUGCAAAGGAAAAUCAAUGGUUAGACACACACCCCAGACGUUCAGUAGCUCUUAUAAACAAAAUCGCGGAUCUCAAUACGUCAUGCAAGGGAGAAGAAGUGUCUGAAGAAACAAGAAGAAUCUGUCAAAAAAGGAAACUUUAUUCAAGUAACAGCGUUCCAACAAUGACUCCCGAGGGAAAUAAAAAUUCUUCAUGGUCAGGUACAAGGUACAAGAACUUUGCCAUCCUCCAAAUGGAUUGCUGAGAGCGCAGAGACCCAACCACUUUCCACGUACUUGAUUGCUUCAUGUAUGGUCUUGAUUGCAUUAAGUUGCAUUUUUGUAUCCCUGCUCUGUCUUGCAAUUAAAUACAUGUAAAGCUCAUGUUCUCUUA